rnacentral:misc_RNA from 1 species
CUGGGGAAAUUUAGAGAGUUUAACUUUCUGAAUGCCAUUAAAUCCAUCCAUUUCCAUAUACAACUGUUGUAUGGUGGCAUUGAGGUUGCCCUCCCAAAGCCAAUUCUCAAAAUGAUUUUUUGUCAAUUGUAUACACUGCAGCUUUCAAAUCAGGGCGGUCUUUUGAAUGAAUAUCUUCAGUGCCAACGACUAGUAACUCUAAUUCUGGGUACUCUAAUCGUUCAGGAAGCUCAUGGAUUUCAC